UCCUGACUGACCGAUAGUGAACCAGUACCGUGAGGGAAAGGCGAAAAGAACCCCGGCGAGGGGAGUGAAAAAGAACCUGAAACCGUGUACGUACAAGCAGUGGGAGCACGCUUAGGCGUGUGACUGCGUACCUUUUGUAUAAUGGGUCAGCGACUUAUAUUCUGUAGCAAGGUUAACCGAAUAGGGGAGCCGAAGGGAAACCGAGUCUUAACUGGGCGUUAAGUUGCAGGGUAUAGACCCGAAACCCGGUGAUCUAGCCAUGGGCAGGUUGAAGGUUGGGUAACACUAACUGGAGGACCGAACCGACUAAUGUUGAAAAAUUAGCGGAUGACUUGUGGCUGGGGGUGAAAGGCCAAUCAAACCGGGAGAUAGCUGGUUCUCCCCGAAAGCUAUUUAGGUAGCGCCUCGUGAAUUCAUCUCCGGGGGUAGAGCACUGUUUCGGCAAGGGGGUCAUCCCGACUUACCAACCCGAUGCAAACUGCGAAUACCGGAGAAUGUUAUCACGGGAGACACACGGCGGGUGCUAACGUCCGUCGUGAAGAGGGAAACAACCCAGACCGCCAGCUAAGGUCCCAAAGUCAUGGUUAAGUGGGAAACGAUGUGGGAAGGCCCAGACAGCCAGGAUGUUGGCUUAGAAGCAGCCAUCAUUUAAAGAAAGCGUAAUAGCUCACUGGUCGAGUCGGCCUGCGCGGAAGAUGUAACGGGGCUAAACCAUGCACCGAAGCUGCGGCAG
rnacentral:rRNA from 1 species